CUACGGGCAUCCAAAUAUAUCACCCUCAAAAACAAAUCGACGGGAUUACUAACUAUUGUGGAAGAAAUAACGGUGGAUGUUCUUAUCUGUGCGUAGCUUCCCCUAAAAGGGGCGAUAAAUCUGUUAAAUAUUCGUGUCUCUGUCCAACAAACUCGUUCUUAAUGCAAGAUGGGCGUACAUGCGAGGGUUCAACAAGGAAUCCACCGACUCCACCUCCUGCAACAAUAGAUUUGAGUCCGUGCCAUCCGAACCCAUGUGUGAAUGGUGUCUGCAUAUAUAACAUUUUCACAAAACUUUUCUACGGAGGAUACUUGUGUAAGUGUGACAGUGGAUACUCUGGCAAGCAUUGUGAGUAAAGGUACGUCUUUAGGUUUACCUA